CCAUCUGGGAGGGACCUCAGCGAUUCCAUCUACUCUGAUAGCUGAAAGCAGAUCCUGGGGUUAUGGAUCAACACCAGUCAUGGACAUGGGACUUUCCUGGGAAUGGCUUUAAGUGCAGGAAGGCCAGGUCCCUCCGGUGAUCCAACCUACACACUGACCUCCUGCCCUGAAGGCAGAGAAGCCACAGUGGUAGACGCAAGUCUGUCCUGAACAGGCUACAGACACAGCUAGAACCCAACCAGCUCAGCAGGCUGCCUGCAAGGCUGCAGUUAAGACAUGCCUCUCGCUGAGGAGGAGCCCAGGAUCUUGGGCAUGCUGAAGAACUCAGCCUACACCCUAGAGUGUAGACCUUUGGAGGGGAAGUGCUCCGGGAAGCAAGCCAUGAUGCAGGGCAGGACCUCGGGAGGGGACAGAACUGCCAGGGCUCAACCCAAGAGACGGUGGGUUAGUGCUGGGCCACACUUGGGUGGGGUGAGGUGGGGAAAGGAGGAAGGGUCUGCUAGCCUACAGGUACCACAACCCUGAAAGGAGCGCCUUCUAGAACAAAGGUAGAGUCACUAGGACAGGUCUGGUGGGGUUCUCCUUUCUUCUUCGAGUAGGAUAGUGAUCUAAAGGGCAUCAUAAAGUGUUGAACAUAAGGGAAAAAAAACAAAGGGGGAAAAUGAGAAUUUCAAUUUCUGAAGUAACAGCAAUUUAUCCAUUAUACUACUGUAUUAUGCAAAUCAACCUUUUGGAAAAUUUAGACACAGAAGAGAACUGUCUAGUUCAGUUUCCCCUCUGGAGAGAUGAAAAGCUUUUUGGCUCUUAAGUCUGUGAUAAAAGGCGUACAUAAUUCUUGUGUCUACUGUACAGAAUACUGCCGCUAGCUGAACUUCCAGAUUUGAGUCUAACACUCUGUAACCCAGACAGGGCUCAACCCUCCACCAUGCACGCCUGCGUUAGAGGACUUAAACACACAAUCCAGGAAUUCCUUACACUAAUUUAUACAUUUUAAUUGGUUGCAUAUAUUAACAUGUACUAUAAGAUUCUUUUCUAAGAAGCAUUACAUAAUAAAUGGAUACUGUAAAAAGAUCUGAUUAGUUAA
rnacentral:lncRNA from 1 species